CCUACGGGAGGCAGCAGUGGGGAAUAUUGGACAAUGGGGGCAACCCUGAUCCAACCAUGCCGCGUGUGUGAAGAAGGCCCUCGGGUUGUAAAGCACUUUCAGUGAGGAAGAACGCCUGGUGGUUAAUACCCAUCAGGAAAGACAUCACUCACAGAAGAAGCACCGGCUAACUCCGUGCCAGCAGCCGCGGUAAUACGGAGGGUGCGAGCGUUAAUCGGAAUUACUGGGCGUAAAGCGCGCGUAGGUGGCUUGAUAAGCCGGUUGUGAAAGCCCCGGGCUCAACCUGGGAACGGCAUCCGGAACUGUCAAGCUAGAGUGCAGGAGAGGAAGGUAGAAUUCCCGGUGUAGCGGUGAAAUGCGUAGAGAUCGGGAGGAAUACCAGUGGCGAAGGCGGCCUUCUGGACUGACACUGACACUGAGGUGCGAAAGCGUGGGUAGCAAACAGGAUUAGAUACCCGAGUAGUC
rnacentral:rRNA from 1 species